GCUCCUGCGAGAAAGCCGCCGGCCGAUCUUUGUUCGUGCGAGACAAGCAAGCCCCCGAACUUGAUCCUGGCUUUGUGCGGGCGCAGAAGCUCGUUAGUGCCAGGCGUGGGCAGGCGUGGGCAGGCGGGGAGGGCGUCUCGCGCGGGGGUGCGUUUUCCCAGGGCUGUGAGGGGAAGCGCGCAGCGCCCGAGUCGUUGGCACGUUUCUUGCAUAGCCAGGUUGGGUUUCUUCAGGCUUUUUUUUUUUUUUUUUUUAAACUGUUGGUUUGGUUUGUUUUGUUUUGUUUAAAUUCUUAGUUCUGUUUGGCAUCUUGGGCCACCAUAUUCUUGUAUAACCACGUUUACAGAAAAAGUUGCGUGUGAAAGGUUGAGCCCUUAAAAAAAAAAAUAAAAGCUAGCACUCACUACAUACACACUUAGAAACUUACAACCGGCCUGUGACCAGAGGGCGCUUUCCUAACCCUAUUCCGUGACCACGCACACGGAUGUUUUACCUUUAUCCACAGCAGAUAGAGUGCUACAACUAUCUUGGUACAAGGCUGAGAGUGAAACCAAGACUGGAGAUGGCCUAGCAGGGAGGUGGAAGCAAGCUGGGUCCCCCCUAGUCCAUCCACCCAGAGCUGCCAUUCCCCAAUAGAAGAAAAAUAAAAGAAGAAUGAGGAAUGACUCGAGGGGGAGCGGCGUUGUGGCACAGCAGGUUAAGCUACCACCUGUGACACUGGCAUCUCAUAUGACUUCUGGUCUGAGUCCUGGCUGCUCCACUUCUAUCCCAGCUCCCUGCUAGUGCCCCUGGGAAAGCAGCAGAAGACGAUGUGAGGGCUUUGGCCCCUGAUACCCAUGUAAGAGACCCAGGUGGACUUGUAGCUUCCUGGCUUGGCCUGACCUGGCCUUGGCAGCUGUAGCCAUUUAGGGAGUGAGCCACCAGAUGGAAGAGCGCUUCCUCACUCCGCCUCUCCCUCUCUCUCUGUAACUCUGCCUUUCAAAUAAAUAACUGUUUAAAAGGAAUUUUGAAUAUAAAUUUUAAAUUAAACAUAACAAACCCAC